rnacentral:rRNA from 1 species
AGAGUUUGAUCAUGGCUCAGGAUGAACGCUAGCGGCAGGCCUAAUACAUGCAAGUCGAACGGUAAGAUCUCGCUUGCGAGAUACACGAGUGGCGCACGGGUGAGUAACGCGUAUGCAACCUACCUUCAACUGGAGAAUAGCCCCGAGAAAUCGGGAUUAAUGCUCCAUAACAUCCAGCUUUCGCAUGUUAGCUGGAUUAAAGUCCCGACGGUUGAAGAUGGGCAUGCGUGACAUUAGUUUGUUGGUGAGGUAACGGCUCACCAAGACCACGAUGUCUAGGGGUUCUGAGAGGAUAGUCCCCCACACUGGUACUGAGACACGGACCAGACUCCUACGGGAGGCAGCAGUAAGGAAUAUUGGUCAAUGGACGAAAGUCUGAACUAGCCAUGCCGCGUGCAGGAUGACAGCCCUACGGGUUGUAAACUGCUUUUAUAUGGGAAGAAUCCCCUGUACGUGUACAGGGUUGACGGUACCGUAUGAAUAAGCAUCGGCUAACUCCGU